rnacentral:lncRNA from 1 species
GUUGGUUUAACUAAACAUUUUCUUUUAAAUUAACAUAAAAUUCACCUUUCAAUGACUUCAAAAUUUUUUAAUUUCCUGCCUGAUUUCAAUGAUGAGAUGCAUUUAAUGCAUUUCAAUCUAUUCCCCAGCAGGCAUCCCAGCCUGAUGAGUACCGUAUUAGCAAACUGUUGCUUCCCACUGGGACCUAAUGUCAUUCACCGACAGAGCCGUGAAGCUGCCUGGGCUUUUUGCACACUGCUUGGAAAAUGGUCGAUUUCCCAGUGGACCUUUUGGGACAACAUGAUGCAUGAGUACUGAAUGGAAAAUGAGGAAGCCCAGAGGAGAGCCUUAAUUAUGCUAACUCAGGUGGAUGAUUGAAUUUUUCUGAGCCUCAGUUUCCCCAUCAAUGAAAAAGGAAUAAUAUUACCAGUCCCACUCUACCUGCCCGAAAUCUUGUGAGUCCAAAAUGAAUGUAUCUCUAUGAAAAGCAUGAAUUUCCUAUAAGUAAUUGGCUGGUCUAUAUCUUUUAAAAUACAUAUUUGUAUUACUUUACUACAAUUUGUAUAGUAAUUAUAAUGAUUAUUGUUGCCCAUUAAUGAUUAAAUUUGUCU